CAGGCGGUGGGGUCUAUGCCAGGUUCCUGCUGCCUGCAGGUGGUACCAGAGGACCGUUACUGGGUGCCUGGUCUUGGAGCGUACCAGCUAGUUGUCUUAGUGCCAUCAGUGUGAAGGCUGUGUUCAACCUCACUGCAGUGUCUGUGGAUGAACACUACACCAUUUGCUCCAUUUUCUGAGAAUUUCUCAGUGGAUGCUUUAAAAACCAAGGAUGAAUUCAGCAUCUCUAUUUUAUGUGGAAGCUGUUCUCAGCAUCAUUUGUUUUCUUACUUGGGUGGAAAAGAUAGCUGGGUAGGUGUUUUCCUCCCAGGGCCUUCUGAAGAGUUUAAAAACAGAGACUUUGGGUGUUGAAUGAAAGGUCCCUAUUCUUUCCUAAAAUACUCACAGAAUCCCAUGACUAAUAUAUAAAUAAAGAUUGUUGUAUUAGUCACCCAACAAUGAAAGAAGAAAUCCUCCCACUUCUCAAAUGCUUCCUUUCAGAGUAACCUCAAUGACCUGACUGAUUCAUGGAACUAAUUUGUAACAAUAAUAAAGAUGAAGCGGGACCCCAGACAAGCUUUCAGAACUCCUCCAAAGACCCUCACUGCCUCAUCCCGCUCUCCCGUUCCUCGGCCUGCAGCUGAUGCCUUUGAGGAAGCCCCUGUUUGUACUGACAGUGGCCCAGAAACCUCUUCCCCUUGCUCAGACAAUUGCCCAUGUGGCCGCUGCCAACUUGGGGCUUCCUGGACUUCACAAACUCAGGAGGUCUGAGCUCAGUGACACCCUGCAUCGCCCCUGCUCCCUGGGCUCCUGCCCUGAACCACAGCUCCCUGCUUGAUGAAGAAGGGUCAGCCACCUCAAGGUUCACUUCCGGGCAGAGGCCACAUCUGUUAGGAAAGAAAAUAGAUGAAAAGCAUAGUUAGCAAGUGCCUGCUGUUGGCCAGGCACCGAGCUAGGAGGUGUCUUAUUCCUGUGUCAUCUUAUUUCAUCAUGUAAAUGGCCCUGUGAGGCAGAGAUGGUUGUUUGAAUUAUACAGAAGGAGAAACACAGAGUCAGAAAGAUGAAGAAACUUGCUGAAGAUUGUAUUGUGUUCCAGUGGUCUCCAAACUGGGGCAGUCACCCUGUUGAAGUGUACUGUGUGGGUCCAGAUGGGAGUGGAUGUUCAGCUCUCACUGGGCUCCACUGAUAUCAGCCCAGCCAGAGUGGAGUGCCAGCUGACCCCGCCUUGCUUUGCCUCACUCUGCCUUGUAGCUAAUGGGUGGGGGUGGAAGUCUUGCUUGGACUGUCGAUACCAGGAGUGGGGAGGGGGAAAAGGGACUGUGUUGUUGUGUAAUAAAGGAUUUGACUUUGUCCCUGGCUCCUGAGAAGGAGACUCUAAGUCUUUGGAAAUUCCCAAGUAAGAGGAGUGUCUUUGUUUUUCAUGAGCCCCUUGGAUCGCACCUUAGUUUAUGUUGAGAUGAGAGGGGUGGGAUUUGGAGCCAGCCUGACCUUGGGGAGAGUAGGGGGGAUGGAGAUUGAGUUGAGUCAUGUGACCAAUGAUUUACUCAACCAUGCCUAUGUCAUGAAACCUCAAUAAAAACUCUGGACACUGAAGCUCAGUGGAGUUACCUGCCUGGUAAACACAUUGAUUUGACCCACUCUGAUUUCAUGGGUUGAAGGCAUGGGAACUCUGCACUUAGGACCCCCCAGGAUUCACCUAUGUGUCUCUCCACUUGGCUGGUCCUGAUUUUUAUCCUGCGUAAUAAAAC
rnacentral:lncRNA from 10 species